CAGUAGCCACGGUAAUACGUAGGUCCCGAGCGUUGUCCGGAUUUAUUGGGCGUAAAGCGAGCGCAGGCGGUUAGAUAAGUCUGAAGUUAAAGGCUGUGGCUUAACCAUAGUACGCUUUGGAAACUGUUUAACUUGAGUGCAAGAGGGGAGAGUGGAAUUCCAUGUGUAGCGGUGAAAUGCGUAGAUAUUGGGAGGAACACCAGUGGCGAAGGCGACUCUCUGGUCUGUAACUGACGCUGAGGAGCGAAAGCGUGGGGAGCGAACAGGAUUAGAUACCCCAGUAGUCCCUGUCUCUUAUACC
rnacentral:rRNA from 1 species